UAGGGAAUAUUGGUUAAUGGGCGAAAGCCUGACCCAGCAACGCCGCGUGAGCGAUGAAGGCCUUCGGGUUGUAAAGCUCUUUUGACAGGGAUGAGGAAGGACAGUACCUGUGGAAUAAGUCUCGGCUAACUACGUGCCAGCAGCCGCGGUAACACGUAGGAGACAAGCGUUAUCCGGAUUUACUGGGUGUAAAGCGCGUGCAGGCGGUAGGAUAAGUUGGAUGUGAAAGCUCCUGGCUUAACUGGGAGAGGUCGUUCAAGACUGUCUUACUAGAGUGCAGCAGAGGGGAGUGGAAUUCCGAGUGUAGCGGUAAAAUGCAUAGAUAUUCGGAAGAACACCAGUGGCGAAGGCGGCUCUCUGGGCUGCAACUGACGCUCAGACGCGAAAGCUAGGGUAGCGA
rnacentral:rRNA from 1 species